rnacentral:lncRNA from 1 species
CAUCUUCUUCCUAUUCAUUCACCAAACAUGGGCUAGCUUGGCAAACGCAAUAAAUAGUGGAUCAGAGAUUUUGCUAAUUUAAUUAAAAUCGGAGGCGCAGCCAUAUUUUUUUAAGUAUUUUCUUUACCAAUUCUAUUCUUAUUGGAAGAUUCUAAACAUAAAACGGAGAUCCUGUGAGACAGCUACAAAAAUUAUCUACAUCUUCAAAGCUAAAAAGGGGUGAAAAAAAAGUCUUCGCCAUUUUUAUAUAUAUUCUCGGUCUUUUAAGUAAGUUUUUCUUUUUUAAAAAAAAAAACGGAGGUUACAAGCAAACAAACAAAAUAAAAAGGGUUAGAUUGUGUUCACUCAUGGAAAAUUGAAGUAGUUUUUCAAGAAAAUUGAAAAAUAUGGUUUUAUGUUUAAAUCAUUCAAUUUUUUAUUUGGAAAACUAGAAAACAGAUUUUCAGUUUUCCAAAAUUUAACUAAAAUUUAGAAAACAAUCUUAAAUUGUUUUCCACAGUUUUCCUUUACAACAAAAGACAUGUUUUUAACUAUUUUUCAUUUUUAUAAAAUGACAUUUUCAUAACUAUAAAAUAUUUUUAUUGAUUAAAUAAAAAUAUUUAAAUAACAUAAAAAAAAUAUUAUGCUUUAAUAUAUAAUUAAUUUUAUCAUUACAAAUAUAUUAUAUUCUUUAUUUUCAAAAAAUUUUAAAUUGAUAUUAUUAUUAUAAAUAAUCGAUAAUAAAAAUUAAAAAUUUUUUAAAAAAAUUUUAAAGUUACUUUAUAAUAUUUUAUUUUAAUUAUGAAAGUUAUGAAUAAUGUUUAUGAAGUUUUUAAAUUAAAAUAUAAUUUUUUAUUGUUACUAAGUGUCACGACCCGUUUCCAUGGGCCGGACCGCAUUAGGGCCCAGAUAAGCUUAAGGCCCCCAACACUAGUAGUAAGCUUGAAUCACUAAAAUUCAACUAUCUUAAUAUGAAUUUCUGCCAUUCAGUCCAUAUUACCAUACUCAAUAAACCUCAUAAUUAUAUUAUAUUUCUACCCCAAAUUCAACAUUUUACACAUUUCAUAGUCCGUGCCCAAUUUAUAAUACAUUAGAUUUAUAAUAUGGGCUCAUAAAACCAUUUCACCUAUGUUAAUACACAAUUAGAGGUACAUAAAACCUACAACUGCGGAGUUUACUAACAGAUAAAUACCAAUAAGUCCUCGUACAUAUAACUAAUUAAUGAAUUAAUUUCUGAAAUUAGAAAGUUCUUUCCUAGCUCUGUGGUGAAAGGAACAGAGCUUUAACCAGGAUAUAGAAGAAUCUACUUCCUGAAAGUUUAAACAAGAGAGAUGUGAGUUUAUUAAUGAAUAAUAAUUAUUGCAUAACACAUGCAUUCACACGAAUAUGUAAAUAUAUCAAUCUAGUCAUCCGACUAGAUAUAUGAGCAUGCAGGCAAUCACGCAAAUGGCACAAUAAUAGCAAUCACAAUUAUUAACACCUUCACAUAAUCACAUCAUGUGGAAAUUGGUUUGUGGCGUCACCGAAACUCCUGAUGAGCCAUCCUCCCACAUAACCCAUCCUCUAUUGACGUGUGCCCCAGGGAGCCGAUCCCCCAUACAUGGUCGACCGGUCUGAUCCUCCCUUGACCAGCCCUCUCAUUUCUUUUAUACUCUCUUUUCUUUUCCAUACCAACAGGAGGCCACCCUGUAGUUUUCCAAAUCAUCCAUAUCAUAUAAUCAAGUAUCACCCAUAUCAUAUCAUCAGGUGCACACGGGGGCGCCGAUCUUCCCAUUCCUGGCCGAAAUUCCAUAUUUUCAUCAUUUCCAAGACCAUCCUCAUAAACUCAUGGUGACCCAAUUCAUCCCGAUUCCACCCAAACAAAGCAUAGCAAUGCCACAACACAAAUAAUCAAAUACUGUAAUUACAUGCAAGCAUAUCAAGUAAUUAAAUAUCAUAAUGCAGGUGCACAAUUACACAUUCAUAUUCAAAUACAGAUAAUUACAGGAGUAUUAAUUAACAAUAUAAUAUAGUAAUUGAUUUUAAGAAAAUAAAUAAAUAAAUAAUAAUGAUAAGAAUAAAUAACUAAUAAAAAUAAAAAUAAAACUUUAUAUAUCAAGUUAAAGAAUUAAUCUAAAUAAACCUAUUAACUUAAUUAUUAAAUAUGACUAACCUAGAUUCUAUCGAAAUUUCGACAAAACCUUCCCUGAAAAUCGGAUUAAUCCGCGAUUUAAUAGCAAAUUCUCAAAGCUCAUCAAUAGGGCAAGUCGCAACAACUAAACCCAUCUGCCAUAACCAUAUUCAUCUAUCAUUCAUCUCACACACACAUAUAUGCACUUAAUAAUUCCAAACCAAUUAAUUAACAAAUUAUAUCAACCUCCGAGCAUGUUCUAAUGAUAUUAUUAAUUGUUUUAUAACUAAUUACCAAAUAACUAAAUAAUUUAUAAAUAAAAUAGAUUUCGACGAGUUAAAUACAGCUACUCUCACUUGAUAAUUUCUAGAUUUUUAAUCAUUAAGAAACUUUUCAUUACGCCUUUACUUCUUCAUCCUUACUUCAGGUAUAAACCUUAUUUACUUAAAAAUUCUAUGCUAGCUGCCAAGAACCAAUCUCAUUAAAGCUUCCACCCCUUAGAAAUCCUAAAUACUAACUUAAACUCAUAGCCUAACAUAUAUAAUAUCUAUAUCUUACUUGUCUAAGCCGUAGAUUAUAACUCUCCCUAACAUUAUUUAUUAAAAUUCCUAAGUUAACUAAACAUAAUUAUUAGCUAAGAAUUCUCAUUUCAACAUCAAUCUUCUAAUUAUAAUUAACAUUCAUGAAACAUAUUUAGCAAUAUUCAAAAUUAAUUUGCAGCUUAUAAUAUGCCACUAACUAAAUCCCAGCAAGAAUUGUAUCUAACUAAUUAUUUAUUCAAAUUCAAUUUAAUCAACUAUUAAUUUUAAAAUUUGAAAUUUAUAAUAAAAUUAGAAAAAUAGGACUCAGGACGUACCGAUCGAAAUUCGGGGAUGAUGCCAGACUCCAAGAGAGGAAGAAUCUGUCUCAUGGUGCCUCACCAGAGGCUCGCGGCCGAUCGCCAUACUGCCGUCGCAGCCGCCGUCCACGGUGGCCGUAAAAACGUGACUGCUCAGAAUCAGGAGCUCUUCACACCAUCUGGCUCGGUUUUCUGUCAGGAGUCCAUUUUUGGUGUUAGUUGCGCGGGAUCAGCCUUCUUUCGACCGGAGCGGGCUCGACAGGAGCCAAGUGCCACUGUUGAUGUCGUCGUUGACCGUCGAAAAGGGACUGUAGCUCGCCUACCUUGCAGCUCUCGCCGGAGUCGCGAGCGAGCAGAGGAUCGACGUUGAGCAGUGGCUGGAGGCUGGUGGCGCAGCUGCGAUUCGCUUGAAUGGAAACAGAGGGAGGAGGGGCUGACUGGGGACGGCAGAGAGAAGGCGGCGCAAUGAACUUCAUCCCACUCGUCUCCGGUGAUCGGAAAAACAAGAGAAAGAAGGAGAGGAGGAGGUUGGCGACGGGACUGUCGCUGUACCCAGAAAGAAGAAGAAAGAAAGAAGAAGAAGAGGAAAGAAAGAAAGAAAAAAAAAAUCUGGGCUUCUAAACUAUUCCGGUUCAAUUCGAACCGGUUUAGUCCAACUCAAUGAUUUGAUUCAAUUUUUGUUUGGGUUAUGAGUUUUUCUCUGGGUCUUAAAAAAAUCCAAACUGGUUUACUGGUCUGGUUUAACAGUAAUAAAAUAUUUUCCGCUGAAUUUCAUUAGUUGGAAUAAAAAUUUAGUUUUUAAAUGAAAAUUCUACGAAAUUGAAUUUUCGGGUCAUUUCACUAAGUGAACGUAUUUUUCAUUUUCUGCUUUCUAAUUUUCAUUUUAUAAGAAAACUGUUUUCUGUAGGUAAACACACCUUUAACAUGUGAUAAUACCUUGAAUUUUUUAGGUUUUUACAAUUUUAUUCUAUUUUUUUACUUCAAUUUCAAUAUUUUCUAGCAAUAGCACACUCAUUACAAUUAAUGAAAUUACAAUCAAUUACAAUUAAUGAAAUUACAAAUAAGUAAGCAUUUUCAAUAUUUUUAAAACAAAUAUAAUUUCAUUAGUCUUAUCCAAUUAAUAUUGCAAAGAUUAAAUUUUGAUUUUUAAAUAAAAGUGAUAAUUAAUAAUUUAGUAACGUAAAUUUUUGUUACUUAACAAAAAAAAUCAAAACAUGCAUAAAAAUUAAUUUAAUGAAACAUAAUCUUUUUAAUUACUUAUUUGCUUUUGUAUUAUCUAUAUUUUAAGGAGAAAAAAGAAAUUCUAAUUAUUGUAAUUUUUGGAUUGAUAACAUAAUAUAGUCAAAUUACUAAUUUAUUAUUUUUAUGUCUUGUCCUAUUAAUUUAAUUUUCUAAAUUCGCCCUCUCACUGUGACAUUGUAAAAUAUAUUAUAAAAGAAAAAUAUAAAUGACAGAACUUUUGACAUUAUAGGAUGUAAUUAAAAAUAAUAAAACUGCGGUUUAGGUUUUAAAUAUUAAAGUUUUAUGGUUCAGAAUUUAAGGCAUUGUAUUUUAGGAUCUACAAGUUUGUGUAAUUUUAUUAUUUUUAAUUUUAUUCUGUUUUACAAGAGUAAAAGAAAAAAAAAAAUUGUCAAAGCACGACAACGUCAAAGAACAGUUUCCUAAUCUCAUCUGGCUGCUUUCCAAAGUCAACUCCAGGAUCAAAUCAGUUUUAUCAUUGGCUGAAUAUAUAAAAUAAUUCUUUGAAUUUUUAUGAAAAAGUCUUGUGAUCCUCUAAAGUAGCAGAUUUGUUACCAUUGUACCCCUAUAACAAAGUGACCCUGAAAGUAGAGGAGGUCAAAGUCCUUUCGAUGAAAAAAAAGAUUAAGAUGAUUUUAUGUAUUCCGCUUAUUAUUAUUAUUAUUCUAACAACAAUUGCGAUGAAUAUUAUUAUUUUUAACCACAUAAAAGAAAAUAAAACUGACAAACUGAUUAUACUGAAAACGAAAAACAUUUCUUAUUUGGACCGGACUGAAUCCGAUUUCUAGUUACCCAACAUCAAGGAAGAGAAAAACAGUACAAACAAAUGCAGUUUCCCACCCAAAUCAAGGACAAUAGGAAUUUGCCACAACCCACAGAGGUGUUUUCUUGUGAAUAACAAAUGAAUAAAGCUCGCUCAUAUCCAAAUCCUCUGCUCUUGCUUCAUCAGGCAUCUCCCAAUCAAACCAAUACAGCAAAUUAGCUAUUACAUAUUCAAGUUCUGCGAAUGCAAAUGUCAUUCCAGGACAAGACCUUCUUCCAGUUCCAAAUGAAAGUAACAGCUUUUUAUGUUCUUCAUUAGAACCAUCUGAACUUUUAAGAAAUCUCUCUGGCAAAAACUCCUCUGGCCUAUCCCACAACGUUGGGUCCAUUUGAAUUGCCCACAAAUUAAUAAAUACUCUUGUUUUUGCUGGAAUGUCAUAACCUUUGAGCUUAACAUUUGCUGACGUUUGUCGAGGUAUUAUCAGAGAUCCAUGCAACCUUACUGUCUCUUUCAUUACACACUUCAAAUAUUCCAUUUGAUUUACAUCGGACUCAGUAAGCAUUGAUUUGGACUUUCCAACUACUCUUCUUACCUCUUCUUGAGCUUUCUUCAUUAUUCUUGGAUUCUUCACCAGCUCCGCCAUCAUAAAUUCCAUCAUUCCUGCUGUUGCUUCUAUUGCUCCUACAUACAUGUCCUGUAUAAUUCAUUGAACACCAAACCCAAUGUUGUCUUACCAUAAUGUAAAUACAAUAACAGUAACUAUCUCUUAACCCCAAACUAGUUAAUGUAGUUACCAAAAUGUAAAUAAUGAAAAAAAAAAAAUGAAAAAAAUAAAAAUAAAUAAAAAGCAAAGGAGAGACUAGCUACCAGAAGUAUUGCUUUGAUAUUGUCUUUAGAGAUAUCAAGCUCGCGCCCCUCCUUCCGAAGAUAAAGAAGAAUAUCUACUAAGUACUUCUGAUCUUCAGCUUUCUCAUUAUCGUUCAUUAAUGCCUCGCGUUCUUCGAUCACUCGAUCAAAGAACUCGUUUAAGUCUCGUGUAAGCGUUUUCAAGUUUCUAACUAAUCCAGUAAGAUGAUCAAUCCAUCCCAAGAAGGGAAACAAAUCUUUAAAGCAGAAAGCUGAUAAAAGAUCCAAUGUCUUUCUUGCCAUUUUGUCGAAACUCUUAUUCUUACCAUUUUGAUUUUCAUAUGCGGAACCAAAGGCUGAUUUUGAUAAUAUAUUAUGUGCAAGACUCAUAAGCACGUCAGUCAUAUUAAUUGGAGCUCCAUUAACGCUUAAAGUGCGAAUCUUUUCAACUAUUUUCUCAACUUCUUCCUCUCUUAUAAAUUGAAACUGUCGAACUCUUUUGUUGCUCAAAAGUUGAACAACACAAAGCUUCUUUGCAUCCCUUGAGUAGUCGCUGUAAGGGCCAAGUGCCAUGUCAGGGCUUCCAUUCAACACGAUCCCUACACCAGUCAAAGUAGGCCUAUCUGCAUAAAUAAUAUCAUGGUUUUUGGUAAUUUCUUUAACCACUUCUAAAGAAGAAGCCACAAGAGUAGGAACUUGGCCUAAGCGAAGAAACAUUAAAGGACCAUACUUUUCAGAAAGGGUUCUGAAAGUUCUGUGAGGAAGUGCACUCAUCUGGUGAAGGUUUCCAAUUAUGGGUAAUGUUGGUGGAGACGGUGGUAGGUUUAGUUUGUGAGUAUUUCUUUUAUGUUUAAAUAAAAGCAGAAAAGAAAGGACUAAAACAAAACAGAAUAAAAAGGGAUUGAACAGAGAUAUCUUUCCUGGUUCUUGCGACCACAGUUGAAGAAAAGUAAGAGUAUCCAUUGCAGGUACUGAUUUUUCAGAUACUAAUGUAGGGACAAACGCAGAGUUGUUUUGGUAUUUAUCGCAGAAGUCCGAACGCGUCACAGAUAUAUAACAAUAAAGUUUGACGCUGUCAAAUCAUCAUAGUAAAUUGUAAAACUGAAGAAUUCCUCAUCUGCGUGAGAUUUUUCUAAUUUAACUAAAAUUUACAAUUGGAGGCGCAUCCCAAGUUUGACAUUGUACGAACACAUCACACACAGAGGCGAUGAAUAUCGAGUUGUUAUAUGGUGAAAUCGAGUUCCGUGCAAGAUUACAUAAAAUGGAAGUCAAUAGUAAAUAAAUAAUUAUAAUAUCUACUUUAAAAAUAACUAUCAAUUACAUAUAUAAAUAUUUUUUUUUUGAAAUAUGUUUUUUUGUCAGCACAAUUUACUUUAUUAAUUAAAAAAUUCAAGAAAAAAUUUUACUACACGUAUUACACAACAUUAACUCUUUCUUAAUUUGAAAAGAGAUGAAGAAAAAUAUUAAAAAAAGAAAAACAAUAAAAGAAAAUAAUAAGAAAUUAUCAAAUUUAUUAAAAAAUUAUUAUUAUUGAAAAUUAACAAUUGUUUCAUCACUUAAAUAAUUGGGUACUUAAGAAAUAGUUAAAAUUUGUUAAUAAUUGAGGCAUUUAGGUAAUUUAAUAAAAAUGAGUCAAAUUUCAACUUUCCUUCAUUAUUUCCAAAAUAAGUGAAAUAUUACUGACAUUUAUAUUUUGCUUCUAAAGCAAGAGUAAUGUGAAAUACUCUCGUCCAAAUAAAGGGUAAAAGAAAAAUAUAUAAUGUGAAAUGACGAAAUUAUAUAUAUAUUCUUAACGAGAUUAGGAUUUUCAAUUAUGGGUUUUACUCCUUUUUAUAUGUGGUAAGAAUAUACGUAGCGUUUUAUGAUAAUAUUACCCGCAAAUAUUUUUACCCAUAAAUAUUUCCUUUUGAGUUUUGGAAAAGAGAUUUAAAUUUAAAUUUAUAACCGGGGCGUAUAUGCACUUAUUACUGGAUUGUGCUUUGGCGUGCCACAAAUAUUUCCUUUUGUUGUCCUUUUUUAUUUUUCCACUUCCUAAAACAUUAAUAACUUGUUCAAGAUUUAUGUAUAGAGAUGCAAUAAGAAUCAUUUGAAAACGAAUUAGUAUUUGACAUUGUUAAAACAUAUUAUAAAACCAUAGAUUUCAACGGAUAGGAUCAUCUGACGUGAGAUUUUGCUAGUUUAUUUAAAAUUUACUUGUGGCGGUCAAGUUCCGCUGUCUUCUACCUGCUAUUGGAAACGCAACCCAAGUUUUCAGCUCUUCUAUCUCUUUCUAGUUUUUAUUUAUUCUGAGAAAGUUCUUUUCGGUUCAAGCAAACGAAAAAGCUUUUCCAACAAUUAAUUAACAAUAUAAAAAUUGGACUAUUUGACUCUUUUUUUUUAAUAACGAAGAUAGGGAAUAAAAAAAAAUUACUUAUUAAUUGUAUUGGUGAAUAGAAUGGAAGGAAAAUUUUUACAAAUGUAUUUGGAAUUUCAGAAAAUACAAGUGUUGUAAGCAAUAAUGGAAAUAUGAAAUUUUUGUUAUCCGGAGGAUCUUACCUGAAUACUAUCUUAUCCCAUACUAUUUCAUCCCACACAUGAAAACAUGUAUUCAAGCCAAAAAAAAAAAAAAAAUCUUAAUUAAAUAGAAAUAUAAAUAUAUUACUUCACCUUUUGUAUUUUUUUUUAUUUACAUUUAUAAUUAUGCUUAUAAGUUACAAGUCAUACACGUACAAAUUUAAUUUAUUAAUUAUUAUAAAAGCUAAAAAAAAAUUUUCCAUUCAGCAAUAAGAUGGUAUUAUGAAUUAGUUUUCAUUCACAGUUUCUCAAUUAAUUAGUGGAAUGUCAAUUAAUUAAUGUUUGCUUGAGAAAUUAUUGCAGAGCUAUCUUUCAUAAGGCACUUUAAAUGUUCUAUUUGACUUAUAUGUAUCAGCCUCAUUCACCUUUGAUUUGGAGUUUCUAAUCAGCUGGUUUCAAUUAUUCUUGGAUUUUUCACUAGUUCUAGCUCUAGCUCUGGCAUUUGGAUUUAUCCGUUUUAUUUAUAGAUGGAAUAUAAAAUUACAGUAAAAAACAAUUGAUCCGAGAGAGUUUGCUUUGCAGAAAAUCAAACUCAUGACCUAAAUUAUAGUGAUCAAUCUUACAAGUAUUCUUUACCUUUGAACUAUUUUGUUCGGAUUAUGAAUAGGAAUUUAUUAACAGCUAAAUAUGUUAAUAAUUUUUAAUAUUUUAUUUUUUAUGUUGAUGUUUACCGGUCAGUGUAAAACGGAUUUGUGUUUACUUUUCUUCUCUUGGUCAGAAUUCAAAAACUUAAUGCCAAGGUGAAAGGGACACAAAUCAUAUAAAACUAGCUAUAGAUAUAAUGUUUCUUACUUCGGUUUGAAUUGCAAAAACUUGACAAAAAAGGUGAGAGGACCAGAAAUGAAAGAGACAAGAAUAUAAAUAAAAGAAAAAAAGUAUGAAAUAUAUAGAAACUGCUUAGAUAAUCAAUUCAAUUAAUUUAAAAAAAAAACAACAAUUUGACUGACUUCUUAACGUCUGUGAUUAAGUUGAUUAUGUCAUGGGAUAUAAUUUAGAAAUAUAAAAAUAUUUCAUUUAAUUUAUUUCAUAAUAAAUCAUAUCCUCGCUUGUGGACCAAAUCAAUGAAAGUAAGAAAAGUUGUGUUCUGACUUUAUCCUUUUUUUUUUUUAAUAUUAGUCAAAAAUAUUCUGAUUUCAAUAAAAAUUCUUAACUUUAUUAGUUUGGUUUAUAAAUGUAUUAUGAAAUCAGUUUAAAUAAAAUUUUUCCUUAUCUAACCGACAAUGUUUUCCUCUCUAUCCAUCUCUCUCUUCUUUUCCCUCUUCCCUUCAUUUUCUCAUUAAACAAACAGCAGGUUAGGUCAUUGCAUGUCCACAGUAAAAACAAAAAGUUUCAUCGUCGUCCAUUGACGAGGAAAGUUUUGUUUCCUGUCUAAUUCCAAGUUGAACUUAGCGUGUCGUCCACAAUUAACUCCAUCAAAUUCGUUAUGACAAGUUGAUUAGGAUAAAUUUUUCAUUCAGCCAAUGACUAAGAUGCAUAUUUUUAACCACAAAAAAAGAAAAUAAAAAGGAAAUUCUGAAUCACUAAUUUCUGCACAGGACGGGAUCAGAUUUCAAGUUCCCCAACAUCAAGAAACACAACAUACAGUGCCUACGAAUGCAAUUCCCCAUCCGAAUCAAGGAGAAUAAGAAUGUGCCACAACCCAAAGAGGUGUUUUCUUGCGAAUAGCAAAUGUACAAAUUUCGCUCAUAUCCAGAUCCUCUCCUCUUGCUCCAUUAGGCAACUUCCAAUCAAACCAAUACAGCAAAUUAGCUAUUGCGUAUUCAAUUUCUGCAUAUGCAUAUGCCAUUCCAGGGCAAACCCUUCUUCCAGUUCCAAAUGAAAAUAACAGUUUCUUGUGUUCUUCUUUAGAGUCAUCUGAACUAUUAAGAAAUCUCUCUGGCAAAAACUCCUCAGGCCUAUCCCACAAGGUCGGGUCCAUAUGAAUUGCCCAUGUAUUAAUUAUUACUCUUGUUUUUGCUGGAAUGUCAUAGCCUUUAAGCUUAACAUUUGCGGACGUUUGACGAAGUAUUGCUGCAGAGCCAUGAAACCUUACUGUCUCUUUCAUUACACACUUUAAAUAUUCCAUUUGAUUUAUAUCAGAUUCAGUUAUCUUUGAUUUGGUUUUUCCAACUACUCUUCUUAUCUCUUCUUGAGCUUUCUUCAUUAUUCUUGGAUUCUUCACCAGCUCUGCCAUCAUCCACUCCAUUAUUGCUGCUGUUGUAUCUGAUCCUCCGAGAAACAUGUCCUGUAUUGAUUAAACACCAAAAUCUAAUGGUAUCUUACCACAAAUAUAAAUAAAUUUAUAAAACAUAUAUACAAGGGGAAGAGAGACUAGCUACCAGAAGUAUUGCUUUAAGGUUGUCUUUAGAGAGAUCAAGCUUGAGCCCCUCGUUUCGAAGAUAAAGAAGAAUAUCUACUAGGUACUUCUUAUCUAUAGCUUUCUCAUUAUCAUUCAUCAAUGCCUCGCGUUCUUUGAUCACUCCAUCAAAGAACUCGUUUAAUUCUUCUGUAACCAUUUUCAGGUUUCUAAUGGAUCCAGUAAGAUGAUCAAUCCAUCCCAAGUAGGGAAACAGAUCUUUAAAGAAGAAAGUUGAUAGAAGAUUCGUUGUCUUUCUUGCUAAUUCGCCAAAACUCUUAUAAUUACCAUUUUGAUUUUCAUAUAGGGAACCAAAGGCUGAUCUUGAUAAUAUAUUAUGUGCAAGACUGGUAAACAUGUCACUUAGAUUAAUCGGAGCUCCGAUAUUCACGGUUGAAAGGCGUAUCUCUUCAACUAUUUUCGCAACUUCUUCUUCUCUUAUGAAAUGAAACUGUUGAACUCUGUUUUGGCUCAAAAGUUGAAGAACACAAAGCUUCUUUGCAUCCCUUGAAUAGUCGCUGUAUGGGCCAAGUGCCAUGUCAGGGCUUCCAUUCAACACGAUACCUACACCAGUCACAGUAGGCCUAUCUGCAAAAAUAAUAUCAUGGUUUUUGGUAAUUUCUUUAACCAGUUCUAAAGAAGAAACCACAAGGGUAGGAACUUGUCCUAAGCGAAGAAACAUUAAUGGGCCAUACUUUUCAGAAAGGGAUGUAAAAGAUUUGAAAGGAAAUGCAUUUAUCUGGUAAAGGUUUCCAAUUAUGGGUAGUUUUGGUGGAGAUGGUGGUAGAUUUAGUUUGUAAUUAUUUCUUUUGGGUUUAAAUAAAAGCAGAAACGAAAGGAGUAUGACAAAACAGAAGGAGAAGGGAUUGAAUAGAUACGUUUUUCCUGGUUCUUGCCACCAUUGUUGAAGAAAAGUUAGCGAAUCCAUUUUCAUUUUUGUAGAUAUUGAUGUAGAGAAAAAGAUUUGUUUUUUGUAAUCAUAGCAAGGUUCUUUAAACCGAUAACAAUGUAUAUAUAUAUAUAUUGUAACCGGCUCUACUGUCUGAAUUCUUGUUGAAAGAUGCUGAAAAUGAAACGGAGAAUCUGUCACGUAUGACCUAAUGUUUUAGUGCCAAAACUUGUCUACGUCUCGAAAGUGGCGAAAGAGAAAAAGACACAUCUCCGUUUUUAUUACUAUUUCAUCCCUAUAUUUUGAUAAUAUUAACUGCUUCAUACUUGUACUUUCUAAAAUAUAUAAUUUCAUCUUUAACUUUUAACUCGUCUAACUCUUUGGUCCUUCAAUCUAUUUUUUUUUGAGUUUUGUCAUUAAUUUAUAUUAAAAAGACAAAAACACCAUUGGUUAAGUCUCAUAGCAAUGGAUGACUUGACACCAAAAUAAAGUCAUACAAUUUUUUUCUGAAAAAUGCUGAUAAAAAAAAUUAUCUGAAAAAUCAUGAUAAUAUAAAAUACAUGAUGAGUAAUAUAUAUAUAUAUAUAUAUAUAUAAAAUUAAGAUAUGAAAAGUAUCUAAAUAAAAUUAACAAAGAAACAGAAUUAAGGUAACAAAAAGUUUACUCUCAUUCACAAAUUUUGUCUAACGAUAUUUUAGUCUGUGAUAGAAGUGGACAUACAAUAUGUGAAAAUUUAAAAAACAAAGACUCUCCAUUAAAAUUUAAAAAAUAUACAAGAUCUAAUAAGAAAAAUCUAAAGCACACUAAUUCAUUAUUAAGCGAUAAAUGCAUAUACAAUCUGACAAUAGAUUUAAUUUCGAAUUCUCUUUCUAAUACUUAAAAAAAAAAUUUAAAAAACAAUAUAUUCUAUAUUCAGAACAUUAAAAAAAUAAAAUAAACACAACUUUAUUAUUAUUAAAGAGAAUAUGAAUAAGAGAAACUACAUUUCUUUCAAAAAAAUAUUUUAUUUUGAAAAAUAUUUUUCUGCAGUUAUUUUAUAAAAACAAAUGAAGCCAAAAUGUAUUAACUUUUGCUGAUAAAUAAAUAUGAAUAAUUAGAUAUCUCUACCUCAUCUUUUAUUCUCUCUCACUUUUCUCUUUAAAUUUUUUCUCUCUUGAUCUCUGUCUUCUCCUCUUCUCUAUUAUUUUCCCUCUCUUUCCUUCAUUUUCUCAGUAAAAAAUCAGCAGGCUAGAUCGUUGCAUGUUUACAAUACUUAACAAAAAGUUUCCCCAUCAUCAUUUGACUAGGAAAAUUUCCUUCCUGUCUAAUUCCAAGUUGAACCCCAUAGGACUCAUUAUGACAACUCCAUUGGGAUGAAUUUUUUGUUCAGCCAACAAUUGAAAUGAAUAUUUUUAACCACACAGAAAAGAAAAGAUUGAACCACCGAUUUAAAAUAAAUUUGUAUAUUACACAAAGGAAAACUGAACCACUGAUUUAUACUAAAGAAGACUGAAAUAUGUUCCUUAUUGUUUGGACUAGACUGGAUCAGAUUUCAAGUUCCUAGCAUCAACAAAGACAAAAUUAACUACACACAAAUGCAAUUUCCCACCCAAAUCAAGGACAAUAGGACACUGCCACAACCCAAAGAGGUGUUUUCUUGCUAAUAGCAAAUGUACAAAUUUCGCUGAUAUCCAGAUCCUCUCCUCUUGCUCCAUUAGGGAACGCCCAAUCAAGCCAAUACAGCAAAUUAGCUAUUGCAUAUUCAAUUUCUACAUAUGCAUAUGCCAUUCCAGGGCAAACCCUUCUUCCAGUUCCAAAUGAAAAUAACAGUUUCUUGUGUUCUUCAUUAGAAUCAUCUGAACUAUUAAGAAAUCUUUCCGGCAAAAACUCCUCAGGCCAAUCCCACAACGUCGGGUCCAUAUGAAUUGCCCAUAAAUUAAUCAGUACUCUUGUUUUUGCUGGAAUAUCAUAGCCUUUAAGCUUAACAUUUGCUGAUGUCUGUCGAGGUACUACUCCAGAUCCAUGAAACCUUACUGUCUCUUUCAUUCCGCACUUUAAAUAUUCCAUUUGACUUAUAUCAGACUCAGUUAUCUUUGAUUUGGAGUUUCCAACUACUCUUCUUAUCUCUUCCUGAGCUUUCUUCAUUAUUCUUGGAUUCUUCACUAGCUCUACCAUCAUAAACUCCAUUGUUGCUGCUGAUGAGUCUAUUCCCGUCAUGAAUCCUGUAUUAAGUAAUCAAAAAACAUAAUGUUAACUUAAGUACCACGAUAUAAAUAAAUUAAAAAUAUAUGUAUACAAUAGGAGAAGAGGGACUAGCAACCAGAAGUAUUGCUUUAAUGUUGUCUAUAGAGAGAUCAAGCUCGAGCCCUUCCUUUCGAAGAUAAAGAAGAAUAUCUACUAAGUACUUCUUAUCUUCAGCUUUCUCAUUAUCAUUCAUUAAUGCCUCGCGUUCUUUGAUCACUCGAUCAAAGAACUCGUUGAGUUCUUCUCUAAGCAUCUUCAAGUUUCUAAUCAAUCCAGUAAGAUGAUCAAUCCAACCUAAGUGGGGAAACAAAUCUUUAAGGCAGAAAGCUGAUAAAAGAUUCAUUGUCUUUCUUGCUAAUUCACGGGCUUAUAGUUACCACUUUGAUCUUCGUACAGGGAACCAAAGGCUGACCUUGAUAAUAUAUUAUGUGCAACACUCAUAAUCAUAUCGCUCAUAUUAAUUGGAGAUCCAUUCACGCUUGAAUGGCGUAACUUUUCAACUAUUUUCCCAACUUCUUCUCUUCUGAACUGAAACUGGUGCACUCUUUUGUGGCUCAAAAGUUGAAGGACACAAAGCUUCUUUGCUUCCCUUUAGUGGUCACAGUAAGGACCAAAUCCCAUGUCAAGGCAUCCAUUGAACACAAUACCUACACCAGUGAAAGAAGGCCUAUUUGCAAAAAUGAUAUCAUGAUUUUUGGUAAUUUCUUUAACAAUUUCUAUAGAAGAAACCACAAGAGUAGGAACAUGGCCAAACGCAGAAGCACUUAAGGGCCAUACUUACUAGAAAGGGAUCUGAAGGAUUUGUGAGGAAGUGAACUUAUCUGGUAAAGGUUUCCAAUUAUGGGUAACCUUGAUAGAGAUGGUGGUAGAUUUAGUUUGAAACUAUCUCUUUUUGUGUUAAAUAAAAGCAGAAAAGAAAAGAAUGUAAUAAAACAGAAGAAAAAGGGAUUGAAUAGAGAUGUUUUUCCUGGUUCUUUCCACCAUUGUUGAAGAAAAGUUAGCCAAUCCAUUUUGGUUUUUUUUUUUUUUCUUGUGCUGUUGCAGACGAGUUUGUUUUCUACAUAUCGCAAAUGGCUAUAUAAAAUGAUGACGACAAAUAAUAAUAAUAAUAAUAAUUUGUGCUUUUAACAUUUUUGUGACCCUUUGUUGUCUGUUUUCUCAUUGAAAGAUGCUAUCCCAACCUGAAUCUGAUGGAUAGAUUAUACUUUCUUAGAUUAGAUCUACAGUGAUCACCCAUAAACUAAAAACCAAAUUAAUAAAAAUAGAAAUUUUUAAAAAAUUAUAUCUAUUUUAUAUUUUUUUAUUAUAUAUAAUUAGAAAUAUUCUCGUUUUAAUAAAAAAAUUUUUAUUUGAUCCGUUGUCAUGGGUGAGGCUGUAGAUGCAAUUGAGACAAGUGGAUCCUCUGUAAUCUAAAUCUAAAAUAUUAUUUUAGUGCCAAAAAUCAAAAAAAAAGUUUUCCCACAUAAAUAUUAACAGAUAAUUAAGAUGGAUUGGACCUGCAGAAUGGCGCAUGUGAACCGCGAAGCCAGCAUAUCGUUUGAAAAUAACAUAAAAGUAUUUCCUUAUCGUCAGUCGAGGAAAGGAAAAUUUUCCUUCCCGUCUAAUUCCAGUUGAACUCAACUCGCUCUCAUCCACAAUCAACUCCGUCAAACUCAUUAUGACAAGUCGAUUAGCAUUAAUUUUUCAUUCAGGAAACAAUUGAGAUAAAUAUUUUUAACCACACAAAUGAAAAAUAUUAAAAACUGAACCGUUGAUUUAUAUUGAAAGAGAAAUAUAUGUUCUUAUAUAUUGUUUGGACUUUGGACUGGACUGUAACAGAUUCGAAAUUCUCCAACACGGAGAAAGACAAACUAAAGUCCAAAUCAAGGAAAAUAGGAAUGUGCCACAACCCAAAGAGGUGUUUUCUUGCGAAUAACAAUGGUAAUAACUUCGCUCAUAUCCAAAUCUUCUACUCUUGCUCCAUCAGGCAACUCCCAGUCAAACCAAUACAGCAAAUUAGCAAUUGCAUAUUCAACUUCUGCAUAUGCAUAUGACAUUCCAGGGCAAACCCUUGUUCCAGUUCCAAAUGAAAAUAACGGAUUUUUUUGUUCUCCAUCAGAAUCAUCUGUACUGUCAAGAAAUCUCUCUGGCAAAAACUCCUCAGGCCUAUCCCACAAAGUGGGAUCCAUAUGAAUUGCCCAUGUAUUAAUUAUUACUCUUGUUUUUGCUGGAAUGUCGUAGCCUUUAAGCUUAACAUUUGCUGAUGUUUGUCGAGCUAUUGCUCCAGAGGCAUGAAACCUUAGUGUCUCUUUCAUUACACACUUUAAAUAUUCCAUUUGAUUUAUAUCAGAUACAGUUAUAUUUGAUUUGGAGUUUCCAACUACCCUUCUUAUCUCUUCUUGAGCUUUCUUCAUUAUUCUUGGAUUCUUUAUCAACUCUGCCAUCAUAAACUCCAUUGUUGCUGCUGUUGUGUCUACUCCUGCAACGAACAUGUCCUGUAUUGAUAAACACCAAACCUAGUGUUACCUUACCACAAAAAUUUAAAAAAAAAAAUUGAAAAACUAUGUAUAUAUAUAUAUAUAUAUAUAUAAGGAGAAGAGAGACUAGCUAGCUACCAAAAGCACUGCUUUAAGGUUGUCUUUAGAAAGAUGAAGCUCCUGCUCCUCCUUUCGAAGAUAAAGAAGGAUAUCUAUUAAGUAAUUCUUAUCUUCAACUUUCUCAUUAUCAUUCAUCAAUGCCUCGCGUUCUUUGAUCACUCGAUCCAAGAACUCAUUUAAUUCUUCCGCAAUCAUUUUCAAGUUUCUAAUGAAUCCAGUAAGAUGGUCAAUCCAUCCCAAGUAGGGAAACCAAUCUUUAAAGCAGAAAGCUGAUAAAAGAUUCAUUGUCUUUCUUGCUAAUUCACCAAAACUCUUAUACUUACCAUUUUGAUCUUCAUAUAGGGAACCAAAGGCUGAUCUUGAUAAUAUAUUAUGCGCAAGACUGGUAAACAUGUCACUUAGAUUAAUCGGAGCUCCAUUCACGCGUUGUAUCCUUUCAACUAUUUUCUCAACUUCUUCUUCUCUUAUGAAAUGAAACUGUUGUACUCUUUUGUGGCUCAGAAGUUGAAGAACACAAAGCUUCUUUACUUCCCUUGAGUAAUCACAGUAAGGGCCAAAUGCCAUGUCAAGGCAUCCAUUCAACACAAUACCUACACCAGUCAAAGAAGGCCUAUCUGCAAAAAUAACAUCAUGAUUGUUGGUAAUUUCUUUAACCAUUUCUACAGAAGAAACCACAAGAGUAGGAACAUAGCCUAAGCGCAGAAGCAUUAAAGGGCCAUAAAUAUUAGAAAGGGAUGUGAAGGAUUUGUAAGGAAGUGCACUUAUCUGGUGAAGGUUUCCAAUUAUGGGUAAUUUUGGUGGAGAUGGUGGUAGAUUUAGUUUGUAAUAAUUCCUUGUUGUUUUAAAUAAAAACAGAAAAGAAAACAAUAUAAUAAAACAGAAGAAGAUGGGACAGAACAGAGAUGUUUUUCCUGGUUCUUGCCACCAUUGUUGAAGAAGAGUAAGUGAAUCCAUUUUUUUUUUUUUUUUAGAUACCGAUGUAGGGAAAACAAUGAACUGUGUUUGUGUUCAUAGAAAAAGGAGCUUUAAAAUGGUGAGAAAAAAAAAAAUAACGUUUUUAACUUUGUCACCUGCUCUCUGUAUUUUGUUGAAUUGAAGAUGCUAAACAUGAAACAGAGCAUCUGUCAUACGGGCCUAAUAUUUUAGUGCCAAAAUUCGUCUGCAUCUCAUAACGGCAAAAGACAAAAGUCUCCUCCAUUUUUAUAUAAUAUAUUCUCCUUCUUCUAAAACAAGGCAAUGAUAUAUAUAGUGUUGGACCAAUCCAGGAGCGUUGAGAUCAUGUGUUUUGGUAUUUUUUUUUAAGUGAGAUCGAAAAUUUGAUCAUCAUUGAUUAAGCAAAUACUCACUGAAAACACUAUACUAUUUUGUGAACAGACCAGUGCGAGAAAGAUCUAAUUUUAACCUAGUCUUAUACAGAUACUUGUGCUCAAGAAAAAAAAAAUGUUUUGACAUUGCCAAAAUACAUUAUAGAACUGUAGAAUAGGAUACCUACAAUCAUCUGAUUGUAACAUUUGUCCAACUAAAGUUGGCACAAGCCAUAGGUUUCAUCUCUUUCUACCCUCUUGCCACCAUUGUUGGAGAGUUUUGUACUGGAUUUAUUUUUUUCAACACGUAUAGUAUAUUUUGACUGUGGGUAAUAUUAUUGGGGUUAAAAGAUAAGAUGAGUUUUUCCAAUAUUCUAUAAUAAAAUACAACAUUCUGUAAAAAAAAAUUUAAGACAUAAUGAUCUAAAGAUAAAUAUUUUUAAAUUUAUUGUUAAAGGUAAGUGCAAAUAAAAUAUCCUUUUAUUAUGAUUCCACAUAAUACAUUAUUGUUUUGUAAAAUGUGGAUUCUUUUGUAAAGUGAUAAUUAAAAAAUACGUACUUUUGUUAAGAUUACAAUUUUAUUUUAUGAAAUGUAAUUUUUUUAAAAAGUUCAUUAAACUUAGUUAAAAUUCGUUAAAUUACAAAAUAACAUGUACUUUUGUUAAAAAUUCAUAAAAAAACGUUAUUGUUUCGUAAAAUGUGAAAAAACACGUUCUUUUAUUUUAGGUCUGUUUUGUAAAAGUUAUCAUUUGUUGUAUAAAAAGCACUUUUUUAUAUAUAUAUAAAUUUGGGCGACUUAAAUAAGAAGGGCUGGGCCUGGUCCUGGGCCUGGGCUUUUAAAAAAACAGGAUGUUUUAAACCUUUUAUCAGCGAAAUUUGCGUUAGGACGAAGCGAAAGUCACCCAAACACAGACACGAUACGUGUCCUUAAAUAAACGAAUAAACUCUAUCCUUACAUAUUUCCCUCUUCUGAGUUUGAUUCAUCAACGCUGCUUCACCCUAUUAUCGCAAUGACAAAGCUGUCCCUGCCCUGAACUUAACACUUUCGAAAAUCAUUCUGUCCACAUUAAGGACAAUAUCGUCUUUCGAUCCCAAUUCCAGCUUCAUCUUCCUUAUCAAUUAUCAUACCUAUCCCUAUCGAAUUCCCUGUCAACCCUAGAAUCGUCGAAAAUUCCAUCUAGAUCCUCGAUCGAUCAAUGGCGACUCUCUCUGCUUACUCCUCGCCUGCAUGGCCUAAUCCAAACCCUAACGCUACUCUUCUUUCUCCUUCGCAAGAAGACACGGAGAGUCUAGACUCCCAAUCCCAAUCAUAUGAUUCUCUUUCUUCAAUGAUGCCUCAAGAUCACCUUGCGGAUCAGCUUUCGCCUGCGAAACCCAACCCUAAUUACCACGCUCCGGUAUCUUCGCCACCACCAGACUCCACGUCUCCUCUAGUGCCUGUUUCUUUACUCCACCUCUCUUUCAACCAGGAUUUUGGAUGUUUCGCGGCGGGUACCGACCAUGGGUUCCGCAUAUACAAUUGCGACCCUUUCCGGGAGAUCUUCCGCCGGGACUUCGAUCGCGGCGGCGGUGGUAUCGGAGUUGUCGAAAUGCUUUUCCGUUGUAACAUUUUGGCUCUCGUUGGUGGUGGUUCCGAUCCUCAGUAUCCGCCAAACAAAGUCAUGAUCUGGGACGAUCACCAGAGUCGCUGCAUCGGAGAGCUGUCGUUCAGGUCUGAGGUUCGAUCAGUGAAGCUUAGACGGGAUAGAAUCAUUGUGGUGCUGGAGCAGAAAAUUUUUGUGUAUAAUUUCGCAGAUUUGAAACUGUUGCAUCAGAUUGAGACAAUUGCAAAUCCCAAAGGACUCUGUGCAGUGUCGCAGGGGGCGGGUUCAUUGGUAAUGGUUUGUCCAGGAUUGCAGAAGGGCCAAGUUAGGGUAGAGCAUUAUGCGUCCAAACGAACUAAAUUUAUUAUGGCUCAUGAUUCGAGGAUCGCUUGCUUUGCUCUCACGCAGGAUGGGCAGUUGCUGGCAACCGCUAGCACGAAAGGAACUCUGGUUCGGAUUUUCAACACAGCUGAUGGCACCCUGCUCCAAGAGGUAGUGCUUUUUUUUAAUUUUUUUUUCUCCUUAGAUUUCUUGGUAUAUGAAUUAUACUGCUGAACUCAAUUGAGUGCAUUUAGCUGCUUGUGUUCAUUAUAAAGUCUUGUUGGGACAAUGAAAUUGGCCUCAAUGGAAGUUUCUAGUAGUUAACUUCGUUGCAGAUAACGUGCUGUUAAGGCUAUCUAGAGCUGAUUAGAUAAGACAGAAUUAGAUAUGAACAUUGCUUAGAAAGAUAGAGUUAGCAUAUAUGUUAGUUUCACAACUAGUAGAGAACCUAUCAUCUCUGGAAUUCUUUGCAACCACAAAUAUUCUUUGCCAUUUAACUUCAAUAAUCUUGGCAAUAGGUAUUGGAUUUGCAUCACACUGUUUUGAAUUAUCUGGUCUGACAUUACGAGAAUUUUGCAUGGCAUUUGUGCCAAAGACAUCUGCUAACUGUUACUUUUUAGAAUUGCACAGGAUUUGUUAGGUUCACUUUUGUAGACAUUGAUUUUGAAUGGUCAGAUGCUUCACUAAAAUGGCUUUUGAAGGUAGGACUUGGGAUAAAACAGGAUUUUACUAAGUUUGGUAUUAUUCCAGGAGAUUUAGUGUUCAAACUGGGACAGUUACAUUAGAGGAUAUUUAUGCACACAGAUGGAUUUCUCAGGUUAUCUAGGUAGUUGAUUAAACUUUGGAAAUAACUUUGUGUUCUUAUUUGACUGAUUGCUUGCUAAAUUUAACAAAAUUAAAUGUGUGUAUGGGAUCUUGUUUAGGGAUUUGAAUUAAGUUUUUCCUAUGAAUAAUUUGUAGACGGUCGUGAAUUCAUGAAAUCAUUUAACAAUUGAUAGUCAAGGUCUCAAUUUAACGAAAUCUGUUAUUCUUCCUGCCAUCUCACUUGAUAUGAGUAUGAAGGAUUUGUUUUACGAGUGUCUUCAGUGUGUACGCCCAAAAAUGCAGUUUCGGAAAGAAGAAAGGAGCAAAGUAAAGCUUUACAUUGAUUAUAAUGGGGCUUGCGUAUGCUAGUUACUUUUUGAAUUCACUGCUCAGUAAAUCUUUGAUUUGACAUUGUGAGGUGAAAUUUGUUGUCUUUGUUUAAUCAAAUAGAUGAAUGAAGUAUAAAUCUUUAAGGUUUUGGUUCUAAUAACAGUUCAUAUUUAUUAUUAACUUACAAAAGUAUUCUAACAAAUCUUUUCAUGGUUCAGUGGGUAUAAUUCUUUUCCUUUUUUUUGGGGGUGGGGGGUGGGGGNNNNNNNNNNUGGGGGGUGGGGGUGGGGAGGCAGGGUAGGGAAGGUAGAUCCUGAUUGAUAAUUAUUAGUUCAAGAAAUUUCACCAAUUGAAUCUAAAUGGAUGAUUACCUACAGGUAAGAAGAGGUGCAGAUAGAGCAGAAAUUUAUAGUUUGGCUUUCUCUUCCACCGCCCAGUGGCUGGCAGUGUCAAGCGACAAGGGCACUGUCCAUGUUUUCAGCCUUAAGAUUAAUCCAGGAUCCCCAGGGACUGAUAAGUCAGGAAACACAACCGAUCCCAACAAUGCUGUCACAUCCCCAACCUCAUCUCUCUCGUUUUUUAAAGGUAAGAUUACCAUCUUCUACCCAGAGCAUGAAAUAUUUGUAAGUAAUGAUGUUGCUUUGCACAUUCUUGCAAUUGAGUUUGUGUGGAAUUUCUUGUAACAUGCCAUCCCUAGCUCCGACCCCCACAAAUACAAAGACAAAGCAUAUUAAAUGGCUUUCUGCUUGCAGGUGUUUUGCCCAAGUAUUUCAGCUCAGAGUGGUCAGUGGCUCAGUUCCGAUUGGUUGAGGGUUCUCAUUACAUUGUUGCUUUUGGUCACCAAAAGAAUACAGUUGUGAUUCUUGGCUUGGAUGGAAGGUAAGGAAAUGAUGGCGUUUGUACUUGGUUGGGGGAAUUGUGAUUUACACUUUACAGUAACUCUCUGGUGCAGUGAAUUUAAAAAAAAAAAAAAAAAAAAAAAAAAAAAAAAAAAAAAAAAAUCAGAUGUAUCAACCAAACUAGUUAGGCCUGUUUGCAAGAAUUGAUUAUUUUCUUACCCCAGCUUUCCCUUUACUUGCUAUUUAGGUUAUUUUCUCCUGGAGGAAAUUUAUUAUUUAUUUGAAAUUGGGUGUGAUUGCAGCUUCUACCGAUGUCAGUUCGACCCAGUGAAUGGUGGAGAGAUGACUCAACUGGAAUAUCACAACUUCUUGAAGCCAGAAGCUGCAUUCUGAAAGGACGUUCAUAUUAUAAAUUUCUUGGGGAUACGUGCAUAUAUAUAUAAUGUAAUUUUCUGUCCGUUUUUGGUGUUUCCUGAAUUAACUUGAUCUAGAAAUGACUGCAUUAUGCUGUAAAUAUGUAACUAUCUAUCUGUAAAGUACGUCAAAAAGGGAACCCAAAAAAAAGAAAAAAGAAAAAAAAAACAGAGGUGAGCGAAUGAGAUCAUUAUCUCUAUUUAUGUUGUAAUUACAUUAUAAUCAUAAUAUUAGACACCCUUAGUUAUUCCCAUUUCCCAGAAUUGAGCUCGAAUUGUGUUAGGGGCACAAGGUUUUGCAGACCAUCGCCUUCUUGUUUCUUUCUUUAUCCUCCUCUUUUCCUUUUUUUUUUUUAUAUAUAUAUUUUAACUGAGCUCUGGUGCGAACUAUUGGGAAUAGUAGUAGAGAGCUGUUAUGGAGGAUGCUGUGGAAAUUUAAGAAUGGUGGUAGUGCGAGGAGACAUUUGGCUUCUAGACUGAUUUUCCAGAACUGAAAAUCAAUCUCAACGACUAUAGAAAUGAGGAAUCAAUUUAUUUUAUGAAAUUUUUGAUUUAAUUAAAUAUGUAACGACACUAGCAGUGGUCAGAAUGAACGAGCAGAUUUUGAAAGAUGGAACAUAUGAUAUGAUGUUUGUUCCGUCUUCAAGUGUUGGAUAUGUUGCUAAUUGAAAUCAUUUUAGUUGUUGGCUUGUUAUUAUGGUCACCUGUUGUUUUCUGUUUGUUUAUUUAUGCCUGACAUCAUGGUAUGGCAUGGCUUACCUAACUGCUCUCAGCAAAUCAGGCGAAUAUUGCACGUGACUUGUCACAAUCGCUUUUUAUUGGGUCUUGGGUCUCGGGAGGAUCUUGCCGCUUGCCUUCGCUGUAGCCACUUCAUCUUUUUUAUUUUAUUUUUCUAUUAAGUAUAUAUUUCUAUAUAUAUAUAUAUAUAUAUAUAUAUAUUGUUGAAAAUAAAAUUUAAAUUUCACAUCCUACCAAUCAAAUACGACUCUGUUUAAUACAAGCUCGAUUGUGGACUCACUGAGAAGGGGGUUAAGGUAAACGAGUGAUUCCAAUUUGACGUUUUUUACUUGAAAUUCUGUGUAAUGUAAGAGAUACAAAUCUCUAGGCGAUUCCAUAAUUUUAAUAUGAUGCAGUGGGAAUUGCAGUUUGACUGCCGCUUCUUCUUUGUUACUAAGAUGAAUAUUUUUUAAUUACUUUGACAGUUUUUUGGUUUCAUCGCCCAUGUGAUUCAGAAGUCUAAUGGUCAAUUAUCAUCUGUGUUACAUCAUUUUUCCUUUCUUAUUCUUCUCUAUUUUAUACUACUACUACUACUUAAAAUUUCUAUUCCACUAACUUUAUGCAAUCGACAUCUUUGAUUUCUAUUUUCAUAAUUUUACCGCAUUAUCCAAACAUUCAUUUUAAUUAUAAAUAAUUAAAUGAAUGAAUUAUAAAGUGUUUCUCCAAAAUUUUUUGAAUUUGUUGGUUAUUAACUUGCAUUGAUUACCCACAAAUAAUAAUAAUAAUAAUAUUUUUUUAGAAAUAUAUUACUCCCUCAGUUUCAUUUUAAUAAUAAUAUUUUAUUUUUUCAUAAAAAUUAAAAAAAUAAUUAUAAUAUGUUGAUUUUCUCAAAUUUUAUUAACAUAUUUUUAAAAUUCAAAAUAACGUGUUAAAGUGAAAUAAAGUAAAAAUACAACAGGAGUAGAUUAUAAACGAAGCAUUCAUUAAUGUAAUUAAGCGAACGGAUCUUUAAUUAGUUUAAUAAAUGAAAUAAAUCUAUUAAUGAAUUCAUUGCUAACAAUCUAGAGCAAACACAUUAUAAAAAGGAGAAGAGGGCUUUCAUAUCUUUGCCUAUACGUAUAUACACCUAAAACUAGGUCAAAUCCAUCUUCUUUGAUCUCUCUCACACACUCACUCACAAACAGAUGGCGCUUAAGCUAUAUGGAGCGGCCAUGUCCACAAGCACCUCCCUCGUGCUAACCUGUCUGCACGAGAAAGAAGUAGAUUUUGAGUUCAUCCCUGUCGAUCUUUUCGCCGGCGAACAUAAACAGCCUCAUUUCGGAGCCAAAAAUGUACGCCUGCAAAUAUUUCCAUUCCUAUGAACAUAUAUAUAGCAGCUCAAUCUUUUUUGUGCAUUUAAUUAAUUACUUCUGUGUAAUUUUCAUGCAGCCCUUUGGUCAGGUUCCAGUGCUUGAGGAUGGUGAUCUCACUUUAUUUGGUAACCUCCAUUAAUUUCAUUUCUUUCUUAUUUCAACUAUAAAUAUUAAAUUAAUACCAUUAAUUUUUUUUUUUUUUUUUUUUGACCAGAAUCUAGAGCAAUCACAGCAUACAUAACUGAAAAAUACAAGGAACCAGGGUAUGAUCUAACGAGGCAUAAAAAACUUGAAGAAGCAGCAAUGGUGAAGGUGUGGAUAGAGGUAGAAUCUCAGCGAUAUAACCCUGCAAUAGCUCCAAUAGUGUACCAACUUUAUGUGGGGCCACUGAAAGGCGUUGCACCUGACGAAGCAAUCAUAGACACAAACAUAGAGAAGCUAAGAAAGGUGCUUGACAUAUACGAAGAAAGGCUGAGUUGCAGCAAAUACCUUGCAGGAGAUUUCUUCAGCUUAGCAGAUCUUCAUCAUCUUCCUUACACUUACUAUCUUAUGAAGACAUCUGCUGCUUCUGUCAUAAAUGAACGUCCACGUGUCAAGGCAUGGUGGGAUGAUAUCUCUUCUAGGCCAGCUUUCAAGAAAGUAGCAGAGGGUAUGAAUUUUGGUCAGAAAUGAAAUUUUCAUGAAUAAUCUACAAUUCAUGAGCUUCUUUAUAAUUAAGUUUGUAGGAAUGUUGAUUUUGAUUUACUAGUGUACUGAAAUAUUGAAACUACCUAUUUGCUGUUUUUAGUUUUUUUUUUUUUUUUUUUUAACUGAAAUAAAUGAAAUAUCACCUUCCAUCUUUUGAUUGAAAAAUAUAAAUUCAUAAAAUUAAAAGAUCUAUUAUUAAUAAAAUCAACGUAAUAGAGAAAAUUUAUAUUAAAAUUAUUAUGAAAUCUAUAAAUUCUAUAGAUUAUAAUCAAUUUUCUAUCAACUAAAUAAAGAAAUCUAUAAUUACGUUAGUAUUUAUUUCCGGCAGGAAAACAAGUUCGAAAGUUUUUUUUUGAUUGAAGAUUGUUAUUCUUAGUUUUUCUGUCUUUUAAUAAAAAAGACGCAUCAUGAGUAGAACCAAUUAAAUGUAAUUUAGCUGUGGGCCUGUGGCUCAAUUAUAGUAUACGUUGGACUGAAAAAUAAGGGCUGGAACAGUCCAAUAACUUUGGGCCAAAAUAUCUACCAAAGCCCUGACGAAUUAUCUUUUUUUUUUUUUUAAUUAUUAUUAUUAAGACUUUUUUUUAUAUAUAACCCUGAAAUGCUCAAUGGUCCCUAAAUCUUUAUUAAAUAACAACAAGUACAUGUAAUGGAUGCAUUUGCUCAUUUAGAUUAAUUAAUUAGUUAUCAUAAUUAAUCCAAACCAUUAAGAAGGUGUACCUAGCUGUCCACUAAUUAAAUAGACAUUAGUGCAUUAUAUUAAUCUUAAUUUAUUUUUAAUAUUAUAUUUUUGUGGGGUAAAUGAUCUGAAAAGCAUAUUCCCCUCUUUUUUCUUCUUGACUUCCACAUAUCGAUAACCCUAGUUGGGUUGGAUUGGGUUGAUGAUUUAGUUUUUGUCGGCCACGUCCAUGUACCUAACCGUUGUGUGCAUAAUCAAGUAAUUUUUUAUUUUAAAAUCAAAAAUAAUUUAUAAAGGUAGUUAUUAUAUAUAAUAUAAUAAAGAUGAUAUUUAAAAAAAUAUCAUUUAUUACUCAUUAAAUUAUUCAAGACGAUUUAUAUUUUAAAAUAAAAAAAUUAUUUUAAAAUGAUUUAUAUUUUUAAAUUGGGGGAGUACUAUUUUAAUUUAUUUCAUUCAUUAUUUUUACAAAUUUUAAUUUUUGAUUUGAUAAUUGAAUUUACUCGUAUUAAAAUGAUUAAAAUGUUGUAUUACGAUUAGUAAUAAAUUUGUGAAAAAAAUUAAUAUCAGUUUUAAAAUUCAGAUAUAACUAUAAAAUUAAAUCCCCAUGAAUUUUGCUUCUAAAAGGAAAGAAAAAGAAAAGAAAAAAAGAAAAAAGAAAAAUCCCAUUGUCUGUUUACCAACCGACAUCUAGAAUACUCUGUUUGAUGUUUAUCAUUCUAUUUAGCUUCUUUUUUAAUCAUUUAUUUACAUUGUUUAAGGUUUGGAGGCUUUGAUGCAACUUUUGUUCCUGUAUUCCUUUCCUUUUUAGCUGAAAUUCAAAUAACCAAUAGGAAAAAAGAAAAAAAAAAAGGUUAGAUUUGAAAUAAAUUAAUUUAUCUUAAUCUUAAUUUAAAAUUAGAAUAUUAACCCACAUUAAAUAAAAUUUUGUACAUCACCAAUAAGUCAAUAAAUAUAUAUAUUAGAAGCAUUUGUUUCUUUUUUUUUUUUAAUUUUCUAAUUUUACUCUAUAUUUAUUUACCCUUUUCAUUCAAAAAAGAUAAAUUUGUUUUUAUUUUUUUAUUUGUCCAAGGUAUAAGCAGUUACAAAUUCAUAUUGAAUACCUCCUUUAGUAUCAAUCGAUCCAAUUUCAAGUAAGUUUACAUUAUUCGCUUUAUUUUAAUGGAUUUUUCUUUUUUAAAAAUAUAAUUGAUUUGUUAAUUUUAUAUCCUUAUUUAAUAUGUUUCUAUCACCAAUUUGAAGUGAUAUUUUUAAAUAUAUAUUAAAAAAUAUAGAUAAAAAUUGUUAUUUAAAUAUAAAUUAAUUUUUUAUUUUUGUGAAAAUUGUCUUUCUGGAAUUUCACUCACCGGCUUUGAUGUGAGAGAAAGCAUUGACUGAAGGCUUAUUGAGCAUUGACCAGCAUAUGAGUUUAGACUUUGGACUUUCUGCACCCACCGCCCCACUCACCGAACUCAAGUAAGCAUUUUCUGCGUGACAUUUAUGACUCUUCUCCACCAAUGUCUUUCUACCUUUGAAGAAGAUGAAGAAAAAACAAAAAAUAAAUAAUCUCCAGAUAAAAUAAUCCUUUCUUUUUUUGUUUUUGUGUUAGUAUUUAUAUUCUUAUUAAAUAUACGAGCAGAAUCUGUUUAAUGUAUCUCCAAUCACAUUGAAUAAGGAUAGAAAUUGUCAAUUUUUGAAAAAGAUUUUUUAAAAACUUAUUUCCAUUUUAUUUUUAUUUUUUUAUGAAUAUAUGGUUAGAAAUAUUCUAUUUAAUUUAAAAAUUAUUUUAAUUAAUUUGAUGGAUGUAUUUAAUUAGACCACUUGUGUGGAAAGGAGAAGGCCGUCUCCACCCUUUCACCCAUUAAAUUCCGUCCAGGACUCAGCUUCUAGACAGAACCAUCAAUCAAAUCCUCUUCUUUGUUGUUCAAUCUUCAUCAUCCCACUUCAAUCAUGGCUGUCAUCAAAGUCCAUGGAAACCCUAUUUCAACCGCUACACAGAGAGUUCUAGCUACCCUCUACGAGAAAGAUUUAGAAUUUGAGUUUGUUCAUAUCGAUCUUGCCACGGGAGAGCACAAGAGGGAGCCUUUCAUUUCCCUAAAUGUAAGCAAACAUGUCCUUGUUCUUCUUCUUUUUUGUAGUUUCAAUAACUUUCUUAACCUCUUGUAACAUAAAACAUCUGUCUGGAUUAUGCAGCCAUUUGGUCAAGUCCCAGCUCUAGAACACGGAGAUCUCAAGCUCUUUGGUAUUUUUUCUAAUAAUUUCUUAUUUUUCCAUUAGUAUUUCUUUUAUAUAAAUUUAAUUCUGGCUGUGGUUCAACAAGCAAAUUCAGAGCUGUGGAAAGCAUUUUAAUAGUAUUGAGCUUCUUAUGGCUAGCGUUUUUAAUUACUUUUUGAACCACUUUGAAUGAUUACGGCAUGCAGAAUCAAGGGCAAUUACCCAAUACAUUACCCAUGAGAAUCCUGACAAGGGAACCCAGCUUCUUUGCCCAGGCAAGGUCAAGAUGCCAAUAUUAACAGUUUGGAUGGAAGUGGAGGCUCAAAAAUUUGAACCAGCAGCCUCAAAGCUCAACUGGGAAGUGUUUUUGAAGCCAAUUUUUGGUUUGACAACGGAUUCAGCUGCAGUAGAGGCGAAUGAAGCUGAGCUUUCUAAGGUUCUUGAUGUUUAUGAGGCAAGACUAGCUCAAUCUAAGUACUUGGCUUGUGAUUGCUUCACUUUGGUAGAUCUACACCACUUGCCUAACUUACAGCUGCUGUUAUUGACACAAAGCAAGAAAUUGAUCGAGUCAAGACCUCAUGUUAGCGCAUGGGCUGCUGAUAUUACAGCAAGACCAGCUUGGGCUAAGGUUCUUGCUAUGCAGAAGAAGUGAGAGGAGCUGGGGUUGCAUGGCUAUGGUCAUUUCUCUUCCAAUAAUUAAAGCUGUGUUCUAUUUCCCUUUUUUGGUGUCUUCUGCUGUGUGUGUGAUAUCAAUCUUCACGCGGAGAUUGAUUAUGUCGGUCUUACAUUUUAAAUAAAGUUUCUAGAAUUUUAUUAGUUUUUCUUUCCUUUUUUUUUUUUUUUUUUUUGUCUUCAAAUAUAUAUAUAAUAUUGAGAGGAUUAGGUUGACCAUGAACCAUACUCACAAUAAGUUUAGAACCUAUUUAGGUGAAGGUACUUAAUACAGGAUUGUGUCAUUAUAGAUUCUCAUGUGAGCUCUGGAAACUUCCCCCAGGUGAUGAAGAUAAAAAUUGGUAAACAUUUAAAUAAAAAAAAAAUUGCAAGUUAUCGAAUUUCUGGCGUAUGCCAUUUGCAUUUUCAUUUCUUACAAAAAAGGUAUAUUUUGACCAAAAUUAUUGUCUACUUGUUCCCAGUUCGAACAACCCCCGUCCUACGCCCAAGAAGGGGCGAAGAAGAAGAACUCUACCACAAUAAUUCUUAGCUUUGGUGGUUCAAAUUUAAUUAUGAUCACACUUGAUAUGCAUAUAUGGUCCUAUCAAACAACACAAAUAUCCCCACUCAACAUAAGGGAUAACUCGUUUAGUGCAUUCAAACACAAUGAAACAUGUUGUACUAACAAAUCAUAAUUGUAUCCUUCAGAUUGGAUUCCACAGAACUAGAGCCCGAGUCCUUCUUAAGUCCCUUCUCCUUCAUUAGCUCUCUUAUUUCUGCAGCAUCAGACCAUCUUCCCAUCUCUGAAUACAAAUUAGACAGAACUACAUAAUGAGCACUAUUACCUGGUUCCAAUUCGACAAGUUUCCUAGCAGCAAAUUCACUUAAUUCUAAAUUUCUAUGGACUCUACAGCCAGUCAACAAUGAUCCCCACAUAGACUUUGUAGGCUCGAAAGGAAUUUCUUUGAUGAUUUUGAAAGCAUAAUCAAGAUGCCCAGCACGAGCAAAGAGAUCAACCAUACAAGCAUAGUGCUUAGCAUUUGGUGAAAAUCCAUACUUCCCAACGACCAAUGAACUAAAUAUAUGUUGGCCCGUAUCAACCAAACCUGAGUGACUACAAGCACUAAGAACAUUCACCAAAGUGACUUCAUCUAGGUUUACACCUUCUUGCUCCAUCCUUUUGAAAAACAGAACAGCCUCCUUUCCACAUUUUGCAAAUGCUAGUCCAUUAAUAACUGAAUUCCAUGUGAAAAUGUUCUUCUCUUUCAUGCUUUUGAACACAUUUAAACCCUCAUGGAUUCUGCCACAUUUCACAUACAUAUCAAUCAACGAGGUCCCUAGAAUCACAUCUAAUUCCCAUCCAUUUUUCCUUAUAAAAUCAUGUAUCCAAACACCCAUUUCAAUGGCUCCAAGACUUGCACAUGCCCCUAACACAUUCACUAUCGUAACACGAUUAGGCACUACACCUUCAUAUUGCAUUUGCUCAAAAGCAAUCAACGCGUCAGCAUAGUUCAGAGCAUCCCUGUAUCCCAUGAUUAAAACAGUCCACGAAACAACAUCUCUUUCAGGCAUUUCAUCAAACAGUUUCCGACAAAGAGCCACUCGACCGCAUGACGCAUAAACAUUUAACAAAGAGUUCUGAACAUAAAUAUCAUUUAACUGACCUAACUUUAUAACAUGGGUAUGUACGCAUUGGCCUUGGUUGAAAUCCUUAAAGUCAGACAAGGACUUGAGAAGGAAAGGAAAGGUGUAAUUAUUAGGAGGAAUAGAAUUGUUGUUCAUGUAAAUAUAUAUCGACGAAGGAAUAUCAGGACAUUGAGAGUGAGAGAAGGCUUUUAUAAGAGUGUUGCAAGUGAAAACAUGGGGUUUAGUGUGGUGGGUGAAGAAGAGAGGGAGAGAAGAGUGCAAGAGGGAUAAAUUAUGGUAUUGGCAGGCAGUGAUGAAAUCGAGGGCAAUGGUGGUGUUGAAAUGGAGCUUAUGGAGGAUGAUCUGAGCUUGUAUUUGGUGGAUGUGAGACUGAGAAAUGCAAUUGUUCAAAAGAUGAAUGAUUCUGUUUGCUAUGGCGUUGAACUGAGAAUAAGGUAUCAUCGCUGUUUUUUCAAAUUUCAAAAACAACUAAAGCGUACGCUAUAGCCACGGACUGACGGACGUAAAUUUUUUGCUGGCCGCCGCCAUUAGCAAGUUUGCAAAAAUAUUCGACAACAGCAUUGCGCAUCCAGGGAAUCGAACCCUGGUCAGUACCGUGGGAGGGUACUAUGAUACCACUACACCAGAUGCGCAAUCGAUGCAUUCGGUUUAGAAAUGUAUUUAUUUAAUAUAAAAGAUGGCGAUGACGGCCCUGCAAUAGGCUUCUCGCCCCCCAGUCGUCGCGAUAGGUCGUUCGGUUUAUAGUCGAGUUUCACUUACGUCCUUCGUGUUUGUAACCUGUACAUUCGUAACAGACCAAGGAGAAAAAUCCCCAAAAUAGAGGGGAAAAAAAAGGUAGUAAGUAGUGAAAAGUUAGAUUGAGAAUGAGGAUAGUGGGUUUGACGGGCGGAAUAGCGUCCGGAAAGAGUACUGUCUCCAAUCUUUUCAAAUCCCAUGGGAUUCCCGUUGUUGAUGCCGAUCGCGUCGCUCGUGUAGGCUCUUUUUCUGCUCUGUUCAUUUUCAUUUUCUUAAUCAACUUCUUCUACUGUCCAUUUGAGCGAAUUCAAUUGAAUGUUUUUUUUGUUUUAUUUUUUGAAUUUUUGCAUAUUCUAAGAUGAGACCAAGGUUUUUGUUUGUUAAUAUUGAAGUUUUUAAUGCUGAAUCAUUAGCACUAAAUUCUGAAUUUUUGUACCUUCGAAAAUUAGAAUUUGCCUUUCGAUUAAAAUUAAUAAAAUUUUCCGAUUGGUGCAUUUUUUUUUUCUCCGUAAGUUUUCAUUGCUUGACAUCUGUUAUUCUGGAAUUUUCCUUAUACCUUUUCUCGUUGCAGGACGUUCUGAAGAAAGAUACCGGUGGCUAUAAGAAGGUAGCCGCAGCAUUUGGAGAUGAUAUCUUGCAAGUUAAUGGGGAAGUUGAUCGAGCAAAACUGGGCCAGAUUGUAUUCUCCGAUCCUGCAAAGCGCCAACUUCUUAAUCGGUAGAGAUCGCUUUGCAUUGAGUGUUCCAUUAUCAACUGAAAAAUUGUAUGCUUUAAUACUUUUAAUACUUAUCAGUGUAUGAAGUAAAUAUUGAAUGAAUGAGUAAUAGAUAGAUAUAUUAUAACUGAAAAAGUUUUGGUUCCCAUCAUGUAACACAGAGGUUAUUAAAACUUUUCCAUAUGAUUUCAUCUGGUUUAUUCAGAAUUGAGAAUCAUGCUUGUGAAUGCUGUUUUAUAAAAUCACCAUUUUGAUGUGAAUCUAUCUGCCUGGUUCUGCAGAACGACAUGAGCUGUGUAGUUUUUGAUGUUCCAUUGACAUUUGGUUAAUUUGGUGCUUGCUGGCUUAGGAUAAAUGGUUUAAUUUCAUUUGUUGAAGCAUUUCAACAAAAGAAAUCAACUUGAUAGUUCAAUUUAGCAAUCAUGAAUUCAUGUUCACCAAGCAUAUCAUCUACAUCUACAUAACCUUGAAGCAAUUUCUUUUGAAUGUAAUGUCCUAUGCUUGAAGUUCUAAUACCUGAGUUUCUAAUUGCGUCAGGUAUAUAUUCUCAUUAUCUGGAAUACCAUGCUGAUAAAGCAGUAUUGGCUUUGCCUAAAUAAGCCAAGGUAUUCUUGGUAAUUCGUCAUAGUGUAGUUGUGUAUAACAAAUGUUAUGGAAUUGCUAGUUACGCUACUUCUUUGGACAUUAUGUCCUUGCAGAUUAUUGGCGCCCUAUAUAUCUUCUGGCAUCUUUUGCAAGAUUUUGAAACUGUGGUUAAGGGGGUGUAAGGUAAUUGUCCUUGACAUCCCUUUGUUGUUUGAGGCCAAGAUGGAUAAAUGGACAAAACCCAUUAUUGUUGUAUGGGUUGAUACAGAAAUACAGCUUCGACGGCUCAUGGCAAGAGACGGAUCCAGUGAAGAGGAUGCCAGAAAUAGGAUCAAUGCUCAGAUGGCUUUGGAUUUAAAACGAACUAAAGCAGACAUUGUUAUUGAUAACACUGGCUCAUUAGAGGAGUUGGAAAGGCAGUUUCAGAAGGUAUUAUUCCAGGUUACUAGGCCCUUGACAUGGACUGAAUUCUGGCUUUCAAGACAGGGAGCCUUCAUGGCUCUGAUUUCCAUUAUAAUUGGGGUUGUUCUUGGUAAAAAGGUUUAUGGACAUCAUAAUCAAGAAUCUCAAAACUAGAUAGCUUCAUAAUUUCAAGCAUCUUGUUAAUCAAAAAGAAAUUUUCAGUGUAUUUGAACUCAAGCUAUUUGUAUCUCAAGCCAAUACCUGUAACAUUCAAUUUUUCUUGGAAUGUGAUAUUUGAUCAUUGAAUGCAUUUGUAUUUGUUUAAACAACUUCUUAAGAUGUUCUUUUUAUUAGAGAAUCAAAGGAAAAUGUAUUUUUAAAUUCAAAUUUGCUAAUCAAAUGAUAGAUACGGAAUGCAAGUUCCUGAGUAUGAAAGACAUUUAGUUUCAUACUUAUUCAUAAUGAUUUAUUAAAGUUAGAAUCAAUUUCUUCUGUGAUGUUAAGCGGUUAUUUUGGAGGUCAAGAAUUAUUUUCUAAGCGAACUCUGGACUCAUCAAACUAAUCCUGCAAGAUACUGUGAAAUCUUGUUGAAGAUAUGCAACUCAAAUGUCUCUUGGUGUAUGGAAUUGCCGAUGAAGCUCAAUCUUCUAGAGCUGAUUGGUUGGUUGGGAUUCAUUGAAAGAAAUUCUAUCUUAGCCUUUUACUUCUGACUGUUCCAGGUCUUCUAUUGCUAUGAUCUUAUGUAACCUAUUCCAGAAUUCAGUUUUCCCUUAUUUACCAUUAUUACUUCAGUAUAAUGUACUUUAACUUUGAACAUCUAGUACGUACAUCUAGUACUUUCUGUUGACUAUACUCUCAUAUAAUUGCCAUUGCUGUCAAUUUCCAUUAAAUUGAAAUUACUGUUCUUUAUGUUGUUGAAAAUUACAGCCAUAUCUCCAGCUGCUGUUUCAAUUGGUCAAGCUGAAUUUGAAUCGCUUUUGGUGUGUGAUGUCGCCUUUUCCCUUGGAUGUUGAAAGAUCAAGGUGUUGUCGAGUCCGAAGUGAGCCUAAUCCAUUUUCAACGAGGUUGUCCACUGCAUUAAGAUUCUUAUAGACAUCAGAUGUUAUUAAUUUAUUAUUCAGGUUUGAAUACUCAUCUUUUUAAUGGCACAGCAUUUUCAUAUUGACUAUUAGACAAAGAAAAUAAAGCAGGAGUAUUCAGUGCCAAGUGUUGUCACAAAUCACACUAGCUGUAACUUGAAGACCAUUGGCUUAUAAAAAGUGGGAGACAAGUAGGAUCGACUUUAUUAACCAUUUACAUGCUGCUUUAAAAAUUUUAAUCACACUUUUUGCCCUGUAAUUUACAAUUAUAUCUUGAAUGCUAAAUAUAAUGGAAACAAUAGUGGUAACUGACAAUUUCUUCUGCAAAGUUGGCAAGUAUGUGAUGGCUAUAGUUUUAUAUUGUACAUAAUGAAUGCUUAUCAAUUCAUAAUUCUUUAAUCUAUUUAAUGUUAGUAAGUGUUUAUUCUCUCUUUUUUUCUCCCCUUUUCUCGUCUUUCUUAAUUUUGUGCUCAGAUGCUGAAAGUUGUUUAAAGAACAAGGUUACAGCGUCCGCCUUCUUAAAAAUUUCUUCUCAGGUUCGUUUUGUGACCAUGCAUUUCAGUCUUCACUUCCCAGGUCGUUUUUGUGAUAGUGAUCAUUCAUUGCUGAAAUUUUGGUUACUUCUACUCUAAAACUCAUAUGUUGCAAUCUUAAAAAAAAUUGCUAGUUGUUGAUGCUGAUGUAUCUACAGUUCAAAAUAAGAAAAGAACACUGUAGAAAUGUACUACUACUGAGUUAGAGGUCAUGCAAAAAUUAUUAUUACUUUUGUGCUCUGAGACAGCAUAAUGUUCAUGAUUGAGAAAAAUAAUGUUUUAUAAUUUAAGAAAUGUUUUUUUUGAAGUCCUUACCUAACUUUGCAGAAAAAAAUCUGGACCCGGUCAUUCAAGGAACAAUAUGUACUAACUACUAAGGGAAUUUGAAUCGAAAUGACAAAAUAUUAGUUGUCCUGCAGUCCCCAGUGAGUCUGGUUAUGGUAUUGUUGGCAUCAGAACUGGCUCGAGCUGAAUAACCAGAUUAUAUUUAGGGAAAACAUUGGGUUUUUGGUUCCACAUUAGCAACAUGUUGCAUCAAGUAUAGAAUCUGUCAGAAGUACUAGCAAGUAACACUAUUUUCAUGCUUUGUUAAACUUGAAAUAGGAAUUUGGUUAUUGAGAAAUUGAAUUUUGAGUGGUCAAGUGAUUUUAUUUUCUUUUUAUCUCGGACCUGACCUCAAUUACAAGUUAAACACACAGUCACUAAGCUACUAACUGAAUAGCAGUUGAGUUAGUUUUAAAAUUAACCUCAUGAUUAGACUUCCAUUUGAAUAAUAUUGUUUCAAGCUUUUUGACAGUCCUUCUCCUUCCCUCAUAGCCUUCACAUUGUUUUCCUGUAAUACUGGCAACCCACAAUCUUUUUGCCAAAUACAAAGAGAACCCAAUGAUGGUGUAUCAAUAAUUGAUGAAGCUUUUCUUUAAUUUGGAGUUAAAAUGAGACUCUUGUGCAUUUGUGGUGUCCUGUCCUCUAAAUGUCUGUCAAAUCUAUAUAUAUAGCUUUUAUCUUUCACGUACUGAUUUUUUCUUUUUUUCUUUUUUCUUUUUUUUUUUUUUUUUUUUGUUUUUUUCUAAUCAUUGUAUGUGCCUUUGAGCAGUCUUCUAUCACUGAAAAUUUUUUUUUCCAAGUUUUUGUUCCCCAACCAGGCAACCAACUAUCCAACGAGAGACUUGUAUUGGUAAGCUAAUUAGAGUGAGUUGAAAAGCCAGGAAAAGACCUUUUGCUAUUAUGCUAGUUAGCGUCGUGGAGGUUAGCAAGGUAGCAAGAACAGGGCCUUCCAGUUUCUGGUUUACUUAAAUUAAGAAUUUUCAUGAAGAAGACUAGGGGGCUAGCGAACCAAUCAUUUGGGCUGAUGACUUGGAAGUAACUGCUGGUGUGAGAGAAAUUGUAAAACAAGAGAGAGAGAUGCUUCUAUUACACGUCUAACGUUGUAACUCUUUUACCUUGGACUGAAGAUACCUAUCCGGUUAGUAUCAAUAUAUAAAGAAUUAUCUACACCAUAUAUAUGAGACCAUGCAUAUACGCUGCACUAAAUCAAUUAAAAAUAUUUUUUUCUAAAAAAUAAUUAUUAUUGUCUAUUUUUUUCUCAGUCCUGUAUGCACUCAUUUGAGUACAAAUCUGUUUUUAAUUAGUUUGAGGUGUGUAUAUAUCUAUCAAGUCUUUAAUCUCAACUAUGCCAAAUUCUUUAAAACUGGAACUUUUUUUUGUUAAAAAAAAAAAUUAAAAGGAUUAAUUUGAAUAGCUUUCUUUUACUUACUUUUAAAGGAUUAAUUUUCUAAUAAUUUAAAUAAAAAAAUUCAAAGGGUAGAUAUGUCCAACAUUUAUAGUAGCAUCUAAUAGUAGGCAGUCCUUUUCUUAAAGAUCAUAAAAAUUCUUUUUUAUUUUUUCACCCUUUUUUAUCAUAAAUUAUCACUCAAUUAAUGUAAUAAAUAUUUGUAGUGGAGAUCUAAAAAUGAAGUGAUAUAUCCAUAGUGCUUUUGAUGGUCUUAUCCCUCAGAAUGGUGCUGGGAGUAAGUCUGUGACAAAACCAAUUAACAAUUUCCACCAUACAUGCUCCUGCUGCUUUCGCAUUGUACAAAAGGAGCAAAGUAAUUAAAGGCCAAAAGGCAGUCCAAAGCGAAUUGCCCUUCCACAUGAGGAGAGGAUAGACUAGGUACUAGACAGUGGCCCUGGGUAUUCACGUGACUCUAUCACGUGACUAAUUAUCUAAAUUCUGAUAGCGCAAUCAUAGAUUGAUUCAAUAGCUAAUGAAGCUUCCUUCUAUUAAUAUUUUUGGGGUGACUAGCUUCCACACACGCACACACACGAUAUAUCUCUUUUAUUCUCUCUUUUUUAUUUUUCUGUUUGAGAGCUCUUUUUACUUCCAUCUUACUCUAUUCCCUCUUCUUUACUCCCAAUUCAUAAACAUCGAACCUCCCCUUUCCUCUCAGCUCUCUCUCUCAUCAAGAUGACACCAAAACCAGCUGACGGGCCAAUGGAGCAGCUGAAAUACCAGGUGAAUAUAUACAUAUGUGGUCUUUUUCUAUGUCUAUUCAUUUUCUUUUCUCAACUGUUAUUUAAUUUCCAAUCCAUUAACUUCUCCACUUUUUCACAGACAUGGGUCUUGAAGGUCUCAAUCCACUGUGAAGGCUGCAAGAAGAAAGUCAAGAAAGUUCUUCAUGGAAUCGAUGGUAUUAUUAUUUUUGUUUAUGUAAACCAUUAACCAUAGUUGAUCUUUCCUUUAUGUUUCUUAUUCUGAAUCUCCACUUUAUUUAAUAUGUAUAUUCCCUGUCAUUCCUUGAGCAUGCAGGUGUUUAUAUGACAGAUGUCGACUCUCGGCAGCAUAAAGUUACAGUAACUGGGAAUGUAGACGCGGAGACUCUUAUCAAGAAACUGGCAAGAUCAGGAAAACAUGCAGAACUUUGGCCUGAAAAGCCAGAGAAGAAAGAUAACGAGUCAGGAAAAUCCAAGACCGAUGGAAAACAGAAAGAUCAUCAGGAAGUUGGCGGCGGUGGUGAUGAUGGAAACAAUGAUAAUAAUAAUCCACCAGAAAAGCCUGAGACUGUCACUAAAAGUGGCGGUGAUCAACUUUCACGGGAUAGAGAGAGCGAAGAGGCUGGUGGAGAAACCCCUGCUGCUGCUGCUGAUGGUGGUGGUGGAGGUGGAAAUGGAAGUAGUGGAGGUAAAAAGAAAAAAAAGAAUAAGAAGAAAGCGCAAAAUGGUAAUUCUAACAAUGUUGACGGAAAUAGUGGUGAUAAUCCCGGUGGCGCACCACCAUCGGAUGCAGGAUCUUCUUCAUCUGCCAGUUCAGAGCCAAUGCCUCCAAAACCAAUAGAGCACAGCCCUCCGAUACAUCAAUAUGUAUAUCCAUAUCCACCAACAUAUUAUGCACCUCCUCCGGCAUACGGAGUAAACUACAACACAACCUACUCGGGUGCUAGUGAAUCUUACUAUGCACCUUCCGUACAUGGUCAUGUGUUUUUUUCUCAGCCUGAGUGGUACCAGCCACCAACUCCACCAUCUGAACCGAUGAACAAGAUGGAUCAUCGAGAUGAUUAUGAUGGUGGAUGCUCAAUUAUGUGAUUGAUGAGGGUGUAUGUAACAAUCUGUGUACUAGCUUUAUAAUAAUUACUUUUGUAAUUAGAAGUUUAGUGGAAAGCUGCGGGAGAAAUUUGCACAAAAAAAAAAAAAAGAAAAAAAAAGUGGGGUGUUAUGACUUAUAUAAGGGGAUUUUGGAGGCGUACGUCCUUAGUUUAAUAGAAUGUUUGGUUAUUUUUAAAUUUAUUCUCCUGGAAAUCUUCCUUUUCCUCUCUUUAACGUGUGACUGUGAAGGAUAUUUUUGUUCAUCUCACUGCCAUGGAAAAUGGCACAAGUAUAUGAAGGUGACUUGACGCGGCGAAUAGUGCGGUAAAGGAUUAACACACAAUUAAAAUUUCUUAAAAAUAAACAAAAUCUAACCUAAAAUUUUCAAUUCAGAAUUUUAGGAAAAUAAACCAAUCACAGGCUUUUUGGAAAAAAUUACGAAUAAAAAAAUUUAUAUAAAAUAUAAAGAAUAUAAAGAUUUAUAUCGAUCUAUGGAUCCUAACCUAAUAAAUAGGAAUGAAUUUAAACUUGUAACAUAAAAAUUGGUGGAACUUCUGAACCAUUUUACCUUUGGGGAAAUGCUUAAAGUUAUCCUUUAUGAACUUUCUCAAAAAAAAAAAAAAAAGGAAGUUUCUUUUAAGAAAGCAAUCUUUUCCUCUCAUCUCUGUAUGUAUCUUUUGCUUUCAAUGCUAGCCAAAGGGAAGAGAUACGAUCAAAUGGACUCAAACUUUUCGUAGAAAAGCUUGUUUCUGUUAGUAAUUUUUAAGUUCAUGGAAAAGCUUUUUUUUUUUUUUUUUUUUUAAAAAAAAGCAUUAUCUUUUGCUAAUUAAUGCAUGUAAAUCUUAGUUAUUGUAAUAAUUAAGCAGAGGUUUAAACUUUAAAAACAGCUUUUUUCUUUUAUGACAAAUCUAUAGGACAUGCUUCAACAAUAAUGAUAAAAUCCUAUCCACAGCAGAAUAUUCACAGUGGAUUAUACUUGUUCCAUGUCCUGGAAAAAGAAAAGGGAAUGUAAAUUAUAUGUAUUAUUUUUUAGCAUUAUAUUAUUCUUUCUAGAAAGCUCUUUCAUUUUGAUUCCAAGACUAGGGCUAGCCAGUCAAUCACCGAGUAUGGAAAUACCUGAUAAAUCUUUUCCAUCAACUUUCUGUUGCAAAUAUAUAGAAUGAAUCAUAAUUGAUUUCUGGGCCCCAACAUGAAUUCAAUUGUAUAGAUUCUAGAAAACACUCCAACUCCUUUUUUUUUCUUUUUUUUUUUUUUAAUAAAAAAAUAAAAUAACAACAUCUAUAAAUUAAUCCCCAUGCAGGUGUUUUUUUUUAGGGUUCAAUCAAAUAUUAGUAAUUGCUACAAAUUAAACACAUUAAGAUUAGAAAUGAAAUGAAAUGGAAUAAUAUGUAUAUAGCAAGUUAAAUGGAAGGGACAGAACGAAGAUAUUGUAAGAUAUUUGAUGUGAAAGUAAUGAAAUGAACAGAGACGAUAAAUGCUGGGUUGUUCAUUUUCAACUUAUGUAUAUAUAAAGAGAAUCUUACACAGUCCAAAAGCAAAUUCAAUUCUCCUCUUUUCUUUCUUUUCCUGAUUUUAUCUGUAAUUUUUAUUAUUUACUUCAUGUAAUGCAAUGGUAAUUCAGAAAUUUGAUUAAUUAAUAGUUUAAUAAUUAACUAUUUCCUUGUGUAAAAUUAGAAUUUAAAAUUUGAAAAUUUCAUUAUUUAUUUUUUAUAUUUCAUAAUAAGAAUAGGCGUAUUUUCCUACUUCUAAUUAUAUAUCCUUUUAUUUUGUAAAUAAUAUUCUCCUAUUCAAUUUAAUUUAUUACCAACAUUUUUUUCCAUAUUUACUGUUUAAAUUAUAUUAAUUAAUUUUUCUUUAAUAAGUAGAAAACAAAAGUAAAUUUAUUUUUAUAAAACGAGGAAAAUGCUAAAAAAAUCAUGAAUAGUGAUAACAUAGGUGGUGGGGACAUAAAAAACACGACAAUAAUGAUGGCUGAACUACAUCACCAACAACAUUCAUAGCCAAAGUGAUUUGAUAGAUUUGAUAUUAAUUGAUUAAAAAAAAUAAGUCUGUGUUCCUAUGAAGGAUGGCUCACUCACUCACGUCGAUGUGACUUAUUGGAUCGGACCACAAUUCCAGCCCACAAUCCGUGAUUCUGAAUUCGUAAGAGUUCAUAUUGGCAUUGGGCCAAGAAGAUUCUUAACUAUAAAUGGGCUUAGCCCAUUAACCUGCAGUAGAGGAGAAGGUAAAGGUAACAUAGGUGCAACUCUUCCAUAUUGGCUGUACAUCCCUUUUGUCACAUCGCAUGUGGCUUACAUCACGGCAUCAGCAAUUGGUUGUCACAGAACAAAAGCACAGAAAAUGGUGAAUAAUGUCGUAACAUUUUUUGAUAUCCAAGUGUCAACAUAAAUAAAAAAAAUUCUGAUUCGAAAGUGCCAUUUAACUAACAAAAUUCCAAGUAUAUAUUUGAAAAGAAGAAAGCAUGUUGCAUUUAUUAUAUUCGAAUAUUUCAUUUCUCAAUUUUUUUUAUCAUAAUAUUCGAAUAUUUUCAUUAAUUGAUUUUUUAUUAUCUAAUAAUUCAUAAUUCUAAUGUCAAUAUUCAUAUUUAAAACAUGAAUAAACAUCCUACAUUUUUACUUAUUAAGAAAUAUUUUAACUUUUAUAUGGAUAAACCAAUUAGCUAUGUCUGAUCAGUCUACUCAUUUAUAUAAAUAGUCAAAGAUCUCAAGUUUGAGUAUACGAUAUUCUUGUUGAGCCUCCUAAUCAAAAAAUUAUAUUGAUAAAUUAGAAUUCUUUGAAAAAAAAAACAAACAGCACAUGUAUAAGCUAUCAACCGGAUAUUGAAUAUAAAAAAAUUGACUAUUUUCUUAGAAAAAUUUUAUUUAGAAGCACAAAUAUAAAUUAUUAUUUCAAGCAAACUUUAGGUAUAAUUAUAGGUGUGGAUAAAAAAAACAAAUAAAUAUAUAUUUAUGUAUUAAAUUUUCUAAAUUUAAGCAUCAUAAUUACCAAUGAAAAACAAAUAAAUAACGAAUAGGAAAUGCUUUGUAUAAAAAAAAGGAUAAACAUACAUUUAUGCCGUAUUAAAAUUUUUAAAUUUCAUCUAUGAGCUGUGGUUUAGUUGGCAACACAGAUUAAGUGUGUGAGAAAAACUUUUGGAUUCGAGCCCCGUUAAAUGCAUAUGUAGGAAGACAUAUCGGUAAUGGUGUCUAUAAAAUCUGAAUAUUAGUGGUUUAAAAAAAAAUCUAAAUUUCAAUAUCACAAUUAAAAACGGAAAACAAAUAAAUGCUGAAUAGGAAAUGCUUUUACAUUUUUCCAGGAAAGAUACCAAAAACAAAAAAAUCUUAUCUUCCAUUAUACGUUGCCAAGCAUAUCCAAUUAAAAUAUAAGGCAAUAAGGAAAAUAUAGAGCCAAGAAAACAGGUGGAAACAAUUAAUAAUGCAAAGAAAUAUAAUAAAAUAAUAAAAUAGCAAGUAGACAAUUAUUAAGCUGAUCUGUCUUCCACAACACGAAAGAAAAAGAAUCUCUAAAACCCUUAUCAGAAUAGAAUAUGAUAAGACACCAUUUACAUUAUCAGUUGAUGCUCUUUUUCUUUCUUUGUCUAUAUAAAUCUCCACCAUUUCUUCUUCAGCUCUGAUAUCUUGGCCACCAAAUUAACCAACUCCUAUUGCCAAUUAUGAAGCCUCACAGUCACAGCCUCACCCUCUCCAACGAUGCUUCUUCUCUAACCCAUGAUCAUCAGUCCAAGAGAACCUUUGGACAGAAGGUCAAGCAGGCUUACGAUGCUGCAAGAAACAGCGUCGUAAAGGGAAAUAAUACUACAACUACUAGUCUUCGGCUUCCAAAAGAAAACGAAAGACGAAACUGGAGCUAUUGUGCAGAAGAUCCCAUUAGAACUAUGAUGUUCUUGGGAUCUUGGGGUCACACUUGAUAUCAUCUUCUUCUAACCUUCCUUACAAUGAACUUUCUUCAACUUGGAUCCAAACAGAUUCAAGAAACUGUUUCUUGAAUAUAUAUAUACGGUGCUGAUGCCUAAUAAUUUGUCAAGAAACUAAAUCUUUAUUGGUAAAAAAUAUGAUGUACAUGUGUAUCAGCUAAAAGAAAAAACUCCUUAAGGAUCUAAUAAUCUAGAGUGUAAUUAAGCUUUGGAUUGUAAAAAAAUAAUAUAGCAGUGAUUAUGGUGAUAUCUGGCAUUGUAUAAUUAAUUUCCUGAAUCUUGAUUCUAUAUUCAGUAUUUUGUUAACUGCAGCUGCUAUAUACAUAUAUAUGUGUGUUUUAUGGAUUUUUGGAUAUAUAUGUAUAUAUAUAUUUUAUCAAUUUCAAUUCAAUGAACCAACGGUUCAAAUUUCUCCAAACCUUGAGCUUGAAUCAAUUCUUCAGUUAGUGGUUCUGAUUUGAGUCAAAUCUGUCAGCCAAUGUUAUGACACAUUGGCACCACACAUGUUCUUUUCCCCGAAAAUAAUAGUCUUGGUGUUACGUGUAACCAAUGGAAAUUUGAAUAAAUGUUAAUAAAAUUUUAAAGAUUCUAUUAACCUAACAAAUUAAAAAAAAAAUUAUAAAUAUUCAAUCACAAAGAAAUUAUGAUUGUUGUUUACAAAAGUUCAUUGUUUAUUAAUGUAG